rnacentral:rRNA from 1 species
AGAUGGCGACCGGCGCACGGUGAGUAACACGUAUCCAACCUGCCGAUAACUCGGGGAUAGCCUUUCGAAAGAAAGAUUAAUACCCGAUGGCAUAAUUAGACCGCAUGGUCUUAUUAUUAAAGAAUUUCGGUUAUCGAUGGGGAUGCGUUCCAUUAGGCAGUUGGUGAGGUAACGGCUCACCAAACCUUCGAUGGAUAGGGGUUCUGAGAGGAAGGUCCCCCACAUUGGAACUGAGACACGGUCCAA